rnacentral:rRNA from 1 species
CCCCAGGUCAGGCGGGGCUACCCGCUGAGUUUAAGCAUAUCAAAA